rnacentral:rRNA from 1 species
GGUAAUGGCUCACCAAGGCAACGAUGCGUAGCCGACCUGAGAGGGUGAUCGGCCACAUUGGGACUGAGACACGGCCCAAACUCCUACGGGAGGCAGCAGUAGGGAAUCUUCCGCAAUGGACGAAAGUCUGACGGAGCAACGCCGCGUGAGUGAAGAAGGCCUUCGGGUCGUAAAACUCUGUUGCCGGGGAAGAACAAGUGCCGUUCGAACAGGGCGGCGCCUUGACGGUACCCGGCCAGAAAGCCACGGCUAACUACGUGCCAGCAGCCGCGGUAAUACGUAGGUGGCAAGCGUUGUCCGGAAUUAUUGGGCGUAAAGCGCGCGCAGGCGGCUUCUUAAGUCUGAUGUGAAAUCUUGCGGCUCAACCGCAAGCGGUCAUUGGAAACUGGGAGGCUUGAGUGCAGAAGAGGAGAGUGGAAUUCCACGUGUAGCGGUGAAAUGCGUAGAGAUGUGGAGGAACACCAGUGGCGAAGGCGGCUCUCUGGUCUGUAACUGACGCUGAGGCGCGAAAGCGUGGGGAGCAAACAGGAUUAGAUACCCUGGUAGUCCACGCCGUAAACGAUGAGUGCUAAGUGUUAGAGGGUUUCCGCCCUUUAGUGCUGCAGCUAACGCAUUAAGCACU